UUUGAGUGUUAAUAAAGUAAAAUAUCCGCUGGUGGCUGAUGAACUCACAAGUGUAGGUAGUGUACUACACGGGGCGCAAGUUUUCGCAGACACCACGACGGUCUCUGGCCCAAUGAGUGGAGUUUGAUAGUAACCCUUGCAACAAGU